UCUCCUCCGGGUGUCCGCGUAACUCUUCUGCCUGCUCUGAGUCGUCUGAAUGUUCCUCCUUAUCUUAACUAUCUUGGAUGUGGUCUCCUCUACCAGCUCCAGACCGAACAAUUUUCUAUCACCCACUUCUUCCCAACAAAUCGACGAUCUACAUGGAUGCCCAUAUAAUGCCUAAUACGGAGCCAUGCCAAUGCUCGUUUAGUAG
rnacentral:lncRNA from 1 species